rnacentral:piRNA from 1 species
UUCUAGAUUAACCCGUUGGAAUGACGUC